rnacentral:rRNA from 1 species
GUGGAUUAUAUACCCUGGUAGUCCACGCCGUAAACGAUGGAUACUAGCUGUUGGGAUUUAUCUCAGUGGCUAAGCGAAAGUGAUAAGUAUCCCACCUGGGGAGUACGUUCGCAAGAAUGAAACUCAAAGGAAUUGACGGGGGCCCGCACAAGCGGUGGAGCAUGUGGUUUAAUUCGAUGAUACGCGAGGAACCUUACCAAGGCUUAAAUGUAGAUUGACCGGUUUGGAAACAGAUCUUUCGCAAGACAAUUUACAAGGUGCUGCACGGUCGUCGACAACU